UAAGUAGGCGGAGGAAAUGACACAAACAUGGAUUCACUGAGUAACUGCGAGUGACAUGUGAUUUGCUCACAGCUGAUAUUCUUUGCUGUCUGCUUUGACAUGAGGACUUUGAGUGCGGUGCCAAUGGUGGUGUAAGUGUGAGCCAUCUUGGAAAAGAGGAGAGUGUGCACUGACAAGGGUGAGAAGCCUGUGUGUGCUUGCAAAAUCUCCAUAUGGGGGUCACGCUUUGAGAAUCAUGCUCUUUGGAAGUGGAGUGUAAAGUGGGUGGUAGACUCUUCUCAAAGCUGAGUACAGAACUGGGACCGACAGGGAAGAAGUACCAUGAGGGAAGUGUGAAAAGGACUUUGGAAAGAGACUUAAAAGAGCCUGUACUUGCUGAAGGAUAUGCAUACAGCAUGCUUGCAUGUGAGAUGAUUGCUGUGUGUAUGAGUCUGACUUUGGCUGGAUGGCCAUGGCCGUGUGCCAUGGACACUUGGCCACCCAAUGUGUAUCCUCUUGUGUGUGCCAGCAUGUGGGAGACAGUCAGUGUUUGAGUGCAGUGGUUGCUGUGUCUGGGGAUACAUCAGAUGUGCACUCAAAGAUCUGAGCAUGUUGAGAAGCAGGUGCAGAAGGGCCCUCCUGUCUGUAUGACCCGUCUUGAAACACGGACCAAGGAGUCUAGCAUGAGUGCAAGAAUAUGGGACCGAAGGCUCUGUGUGCAAUGAAGGUGGAGUCCCAGAUUUGUGCAUGAGUGUUCAAACAAGCAGGAGGACAAGGUUUGAGUCUGAGCAUUCCUGACAGGACCCGAAAGAUGGUGAACUAUGCCCGGAAAGGGCCAAGUCAGGGGAAACUCUGGUGGAGGCUCGUAGCGUUACUGACGUGCAAAUCGUUCGUCACACCUGGGUAUGGGGGCGAAAGACUAAUCGAACCAUCUAGUAGCUGGUUCCCUCUGAAGUUUCCCUCAGGAUAGCUGAACUUGCAGGACUUUCACCAGGUAAAGCGAAUGAUUGGAGGAAUUGGGGGUUGCAGACCUUUGACCUAUUCUCAAACUUUUAAUGGGUGUGUUGUGUGGUUGCUUAGCUGAACCAACAGCUAAUGAUGACUCUUAGUGGGCCACUUUUGGUGAGCAGAACUGGCGAUGAGGGGUGAACCUGAUGAUGGGUUAAGGCACUGAAGUUCUUGCUCAUCAGAAACUGUAAAGGGUGUUGGCUCAUUCUGACAGCAGGUCGGUGGUCAUGGAAGUUGAAAUCCGCUUGGGGGUGU
rnacentral:rRNA from 1 species